ensembl:lncRNA
AGAUAGAUUAGGUUUAGUGUUAGAAUUUAGAUUAAACAAGCAGAGUCUGAUUUUCAAAACCAAAAACCAAAACCAACAUAGCACCCUAGAACUCUGGGAGCAAACACCCUGGAGCCAGGCUGAGCACACAGGGCAGCCACGUGGGGGUCUCCACCACCCAAGGAACCCUGGCUCCUCAGGAGGGGCCACAAAACAGGCCCUCAAUAAGUAUUUAUAGAACAAAUGAGUGAAUGAAUUUCGCUUGAAUUAAACAUGACUCGUCCACGCCUGGCAUAAUUCCUUUUCAUUCCAGUGAACGGAAGCCCGGCUGAGAGCAGGGAAGUUCCCUGAGCUGCCCAGCUGCCUAGGGGCUUUUCCGGCCUGGGCCAAGGCAGGAGGAAGCCCCAACUAACUCAUAGUCACUCCUCAGAAUACUUUUAUUAAAGGGGAAAAAAUCACCAAUGAUGAUAUCCAGUGACAAGCUUCUGCCACCCACACAUUCCACGUUCCACCUGGCCAUGAGCUGGUUUCAGUCUCAGGGCACAAGCAACACAAGUCAGAAUUUUUUUUUUUUUCUUUUAAUCUUUGGGGAAGAAACAGAAAAGGAGGAGAAAGCAGAGUAACAAGUGCAGAUUAAAUAUGAGGCAGGUCCAGGCUUUUGAUACCACUGUGUUUAACUCACCAAAUAAUCAGAGCAUUAAAUGCAGGCAUAAUUUGUCAGCAAGCUCCCUCCAUUGUUCCCUGAAGCAUGCGGGGUUGGGGGGGGGGUGUGGGCUAAUUCAAUUCACGUGGGAAUCGGUGUUUACAUCCACGAGUCCUAAUGGAAGGGCACACCAUUUUCAAACUGGAACAAAUAAAUCAUAAUGCCCUUUGCCACUAAAACCGGGGACCUUGCGAUGCCUCUCUCUUGGUGGACGAGCUACAUUUGGAAGGACGUUUUCUUCAGUGUGGAAAUCUCCACUUGCUGGCUACUGCAGCAAGUCCCAGAAGAAAGCCAGGUGCAUGGCAGUCCAUCUCUCCGGCGGAACCCUGUUUCAUGGCCUGCGGGUGCUGCGGGGCGGUGGACACUCGCUUGUAGCAUCCGGAUGGAAGCGGAACCACCUCCGUCCGCGUGGCCGCGGCCUCCCAAGAAACCGGAGCAGAAACAAGCACAAAGCCGCCACUGUCGUGAACAAGCCAGGGCCUCCUGGGGGCUGGAGGACCUUCCAGAUGGGAACAAAAGGCGUUGGCUCUUGAUUAAGGAAAGUCACUGGAUGGAUACUUGUCAUCUCCAGGACACUCAUCUGACUGCAGCCUCCUUGUGGAAGGGAUGGUGUGUCCUGAAUUAGCAGGAAAUACCAAGAGUUUCCAAGGGGACAGGAGCAGAGGCCCCUCGGAUCUUUGAGGUUGUCAUCUUCCUUUGCAAGUUUAGUCCUAAACCCGCUGACAACAAUCCAGUCUUCAGGAUGGAGGGCUGUCGGGAGCCCAGGGUAUCCUUGGUCAGACCGUGAGGCAUGUGAUACGGAGCCACGGAGGGCGGCAGAGUCCUUCUCAGAGAUCCGUCCACGCCACCAGCCCCAGGUCGACCGGAGGGUGUGUGGAAGCAGGAAAUUCAGGGGCUACAGUGAAACCCCGACUCUAGCUUCUCUGUUGCCAGUGAGUGACAGCUGGAUGUCAGGGGACUCACAAAUGUGGACUCAUACAAGGUUGGCAAAAGCGACAGGCUCAGAGGAACUGGCCCCAACUCAAACUAGGGUGCCCCCCCACUCUUGGCUCCCCCAAACCCGCAAGCCCUCACUUACCCGGCAGAAGCCUACUGCUCCCCUCCAAAAGCAGAGACAGCCGUGGAUUUUAAGACCUGAGAUGAUGCAUCACUGUGGCUGUAACACUGGACUGAAUCUUGUUCUGUGUUCUAUGUAUCAUAUUCUCUGAGAUAAAAAGGCAUUUCAGAGCAAAACAAAACACCAAACACAAGUUAAGAGCCACUGGAGUUACAUACGCAGGGAAGAGCAAAGGCCUCCAAGAAGGUGUGGUCAAAUGAACAGGAAGCUUUCCAAAGAACAGGGGCAAAUUCAGAAGAACGGGUAAGUUCAGAAGCUGGUGGUCCAGGUGAAUGUGGACCCCAAGGUCCAGUUCUGGGUUUUGCUUUGAGCUGCAAGCGUCAUCACUUUGUUCAAAACCCCCAGAGUUUUAUGUUUAUAAUAAAUGUAUUGCCUUGAUCA